GGGACUUCACAGGGAAAAUGCUAUGCAGUGAGGCAUAAGGGAUUGUCUGCAGCAGGACGGCCCCCAGUGGAUUGGCGCCGAGGGAUGUGGUGCUCCUCCAGCAGCUCUCUCAUUAGGUAUUAGGUUCACUGUACUUUUGGGAAUAUAUUGAUGGAACGCCAGCCUACCCUUCUAUAUCACCAGGGACUCAUAAAUGCAUAGCUCCUGGUAUGGCACAAGAACCGACCAAAUGCUGAUGUCAGGCUGCUCCAAGGCAAACCGAUUAGUCAUCUCUACUAUGUCUCCCACCAGCUCCUCUGUCAGAAACAGCUUCAAGCACUCUGCCUCAGAGGGAAAUGGCAAGGGGAUUUGCAUUCCAGACUGGGACUCAAAGCAAACAGCAGGGCCAGAAGGGGUGAAAUUGCUGGCGGCCUUCCAGCUACCACAGACCUGCUGUACUUCAUCCACUGUCGGUCUGCAUCCAUCACCACCAGCAUCUUCAAAGAGACCUGGAACUCCGUCAGUGGACAAGGGGUCCUCAGGUUCAGGGUUCUCAAUGGCUACAAUGUUGGGGGCAGCUCCUCACUGUCACUGUGAAAAUCUGAUUCCUGACUUUCAUACUCAGACUCAUUGUCAGAAUUUAUUAAAAUCUCCAGAAUUUCUGCAUUUGUGAGUUGUCUCCUUUUGAGAGAUAUUGCUAAUGCUACAGCUCAGCUCACUAGCUAC